AAUUGAAGAGUUUGAUCAUGGCUCAGAUUGAACGCUGGCGGCAGGCCUAAAACAUGCAAGUCGAACGGUAACAGGAAGAAGCUUGCUUCUUUCCUGACGAGUGGCGGACGGGUGAGUAAUGUCUGGGAAACUGCCUGAUGGAGGGGGAUAACUACUGGAAACGGUAGCUAAUACCGCAUAACGUCGCAAGACCAAAGAGGGGGACCUUCGGGCCUCUUGCCAUCGGAUGUGCCCAGAUGGGAUUAGCUAGUAGGUGGGGUAACGGCUCACCUAGGCGACGAUCCCUAGCUGGUCUGAGAGGAUGACCAGCCACACUGGAACUGAGACACGGGCCAGACUCCUACGGGAGGCAGCAGUGGGGAAUAUUGCACAAUGGGCGCAAGCCUGAUGCAGCCAUGCCGCGUGUAUGAAGAAGGCCCUCGGGUUGUAAAGUACUUUCAGCGGGGAGGAAGGGAGUGAAGUUAAUACCUUUGCUCAUUGACGUUACCCGCAGAAGAAGCACCGGCUAACUCCGUGCCAGCAGC
rnacentral:rRNA from 1 species